GCCUAUCUUUUCUUGUUCUUUGUGCUCAUUACUUGCUUACUUCUUAUUUGUGUUUGAUUUUAUUUCUAUUGCAAGUUGAUACACUUCACUCUUCAUCUUGGCACAUUGCUUAAGUAGUUCAAUCUUUAAAAUUUCAAAAAGACCCAAUUCAUCCCUCUCUUGGACUCCAUAUCUGGAUAAUAAGUGAUAUCAGAGCCCGGGUAUCUAGUUCUUGCUUGAUUUAACCAUCAAGAGCUAAAAAUCCAUGGUAGUCCAAUUUGGCACAUCCCUAUUCGAGGGACAAUCC
rnacentral:lncRNA from 1 species